UACAGAGGUCCCAAGCGUUGUUCGGAUUCAUUGGGCGUAAAGCGCGUGUAGGCGGCCAGAAAAGUCCGCUGUGAAAACUCGAGGCUCAACUUCGAGCUGUCGGUGGAAACUUUCUGGCUAGAGUCCGGAAGAGGAGAAUGGAAUUCCUGGUGUAGCGGUGAAAUGCGCAGAUAUCAGGAAGAACACCCGUGGCGAAGGCGGUUCUCUGGGACGGUACUGACGCUGGAGACGCGAAAGCCGUGGGGAGCGAACAGG
rnacentral:rRNA from 1 species